rnacentral:rRNA from 1 species
GAUGAACGCUGGCGGCGUGCCUAAUACAUGCAAGUCGAGCGAACAGACGAGGAGCUUGCUCCUCUGACGUUAGCGGCGGACGGGUGAGUAACACGUGGAUAACCUACCUAUAAGACUGGGAUAACUUCGGGAAACCGGAGCUAAUACCGGAUAAUAUAUUGAACCGCAUGGUUCAAUAGUGAAAGACGGUUUUGCUGUCACUUAUAGAUGGAUCGGCGCCGGAUUAGCUAGUUGGUAAGGUAACGGCUCACCAAGGCGACGACGCGUAGCCGACCUGAGAGGAGGAGCAGACACACUGGAAGGGAGACACGGUACAGACUACUACGGGAGGCAGCAGUGGGGAAUAUUGGACAAUGGGCGCAAGCCUGAUCCAGUCAUACAGAGUGGGUGAAGAAGGCCUUCGGGUUGUAAAGCCCUUUUGUUGGGAAAGAAAAGCAGCAGGUUAAUACCCCGCUGUUCUGACGGUACCCAAAGAAUAAGCACCGGCUAACUUCGUG